AUGGCGUAUUCCAUGACAGCGGCAUUGCAGGGCAGCAUGGUCCUCCUGUCAUCGCCGCCUACAAAGCCAAACUCCUCCUGGGACAUCGUCAGAAGCUCGCUGAAGAUCAAUGUGCUGAGGUAUGCUAGCGGCACCUCGAACCGCGCCCUGUCAGCGGUGUACAAAACACAGUGGCCCUUCAUCGCCACUGACGGCGAUGUGGCACAGCACUCGUCAUUGGCUGCUCCUUUCGCCACUGUCGUGGUCUGUGGUGCUGCUUUAGCUUGUACUUUCUGGAUGAACUCAAGUGAUGGUGGUGCUAAGCUGAUGAAUUUAUAG
rnacentral:rRNA from 1 species